AGAGGGAGAGAUGAGGCGGUGGGCUCAAAAUGGGUAUGGAAUCAGGAGGGGGCAGAGAUACGGUGUCGUAUCGAUAGGUUACAGACAGCCUAUAAAGAACCCUAAACACUGCAUGGAUUGGAGUUGUCUGUGAAUCCAACAUGCAUUCCCGUUCCAUGCCUCCUUUCAUUUAUUGUUCUAUUUUCCCGAUGUCUUUUUAGUUCAUAAUAAGUAUCAAAUGUUAAUUAAUUUUUCAUUAAUUUCAUCUG
rnacentral:lncRNA from 1 species